rnacentral:rRNA from 1 species
UUGUUGGUAAGGUAAAAGCUUACCAAGGCUUCGAUCAGUAGCUGGUCUGAGAGGACGACCAGCCACACUGGGACUGAGACACGGCCCAGACUCCUACGGGAGGCAGCAGUGGGGAAUUUUGGACAAUGGGGGCAACCCUGAUCCAGCCAUGCCGCGUGAGUGAAGAAGGCCUUCGGGUUGUAAAGCUCUUUCAGCCGGAACGAAACGGUUACGGUUAAUACCCGUGACUACUGACGGUACCGGAAGAAGAAGCACCGGCUAACUACGUGCCAGCAGCCGCGGUAAUACGUAGGGCGCGAGCGUUAAUCGGAAUUACUGGGCGUAAAGCGUGCGCAGGUGGUUUUGUAAGUCAGAUGUGAAAGCCCCGGGCUCAACCUGGGAACUGCGUUUGAAACUACAAGACUAGAGUGUGGCAGAGGGGGGUGGAAUUCCGCGUGUAGCAGUGAAAUGCGUAGAGAUGUGGAGGAACACCGAUGGCGAAGGCAGCCCCCUGGGUCAACACUGACGCUCAGGCACGAAAGCAUGGGGAGCAAAUAGGAUUAGAUACCCUGGUAGUCCAUGCCCUAAACGAUGUCAACUAGUUGUCGGGCCUUUACGGGCUUGGUAACGUAGCUAACGCGUGAAGUUGACCGCCUGGGGAGUACGAUCGCAAGAUUAAAACUCAAAUGAAUUGACGGGGACCCGCACAAGCGGUGGAUUAUGUGGAUUAAUUCGAUGCAACGCGAAAAACCUUACCUACCCUUGACAUGUAUCGAAGCCCGCAGAAAAGCGGGGGUGCCCGAAAGGGAACGAUAACACAGGUGCUGCAUGGCUGUCGUCAGCUCGUGUCGUGAGAUGUUGGGUUAAGUCCCGCAACGAGCGCAACCCUUGUCAUUAAUUGCCAUCAUUUAGUUGGGCACUUUAAUGAGACUGCCGG